rnacentral:rRNA from 1 species
GACGAACGCUGGCGGCGUGCCUAAUACAUGCAAGUCGAACGCAGUGGGGACGGGUGAGUAACACGUGGGUAACCUCCCAUCAGAGGGGAUAACACUUGGAAACAGGUGCUAAACCGCUACUGAUUGAUGGACCCGCGGUGCAUUCGCUAGUGGGUGAGGUAACGGCUCACCAAGGCCACGAUACAUAGCUGACCGGAGAGGGGGACCGGCCAAACUGGGACUGAGACACGGCCCAGACGCCUACGGGAGGCAGCAGUAGGGAAUAUUGGGCAAUGGACGAAAGUCUGACGGAGCAACGCCGCGUGAGUGAAGAAGGUUUUCGGAUCGUAAAACUCUGUUGUUAGGGAAGCGGUAUCUAAACAGAAAGCAACGGCUAACUACGUGCCAGCAGCCGCGGUAAUAC